UUUCCAAAGAAGAUAAUAUGCUCUCUUCCUGCAUGACUGAUAGAAGAAAACACAACAGCAACUCUACCUCUGUAUCAGAAGUGUGAGGUCAGGGAGAGGGCCUCAGCUGUGUGACCCAUAUAAAACAGCUGACAGUCUUUACACCACUUGUAAGUCUUACCUGUAGAAGAGCCCUGCUUGCUGCUACUGAGCCUGGAGGUUCCUCCUAUUCUCCUUCCCUGUGCUUUGUCAUCACUGCCUGUCAGGCUCUUCAUUGAAGUGGAGACUUUGGGAACAGCACAUGAGAGAAGGACGUUUACCAAACACUGAACCGUCUGAGGACAAGGUAGUAAAUAAUGUGUUUCAUCCUGGCUGCAGUAAAAAAUCAUUCCUAGUUCCUGAACAACCUGCUAAAAAAAGCUUCCAGCAAGUUCUGCCAUUCACCAUAAGCAUUGCAGCAUCCAUGCUCAGAGCAGCAGGUAAAUGAUUGGGCCACAUCCCCAGCCUCUGCAGCCACAUAAUGUCCCCUGGAACCAUAGUGGAUGCUUGUCUGCAUGCAUGGAGAGUUCUCAGUCAGUGCCUGGAUCUUCCCUGUGCACGAAGGAGAGCCAGGACUUGGUCAGUGUGCCUCACUUAGCCUUGCUGACAUAGACCCUGCCUGCUCUCACCUGGCAUGGAGGCACAGAAGCCCGGAGAAACUCUUGCAUCUGCACAAGAAAGCAACAACUUCUUCCACUACACGGGAGAAUGCUGACAACUCAAUUUUGGUCGCUGCCAAGCUCAACUUACAACAGUCAACUCACAUCAGACUAGAAGGGAAAACAAGAUGAUGAAUGAAGCAAGAGUGCAAAGGACUUGACCAAAAAGUAUCAGCAAGUCAGCAAACUAAAACUGUAUGCUAUCAAUAAAAUCCUUACAAGAAUCUGUCACAA